rnacentral:rRNA from 1 species
CUGCUGCCUCCCGUAGGAGUCUGGUCCGUGUCUCAGUACCAGUGUGGGGGACCUUCCUCUCAGAACCCCUAGACAUCGCCGCCUUGGUGGGCCGUUACCCCGCCAACUAGCUAAUGUCACGCAUGCCCAUCCGUCUCCGGAGUCGCCUCCUUUGGCCGAAAGAAGAUGCCUCCCCUCGGCCACAUGCGGUAUUAGGCCGGAUUUCUCCGGGUUAUCCCGCUGAAACGGGCAGGUUGCAUACGCGUUACUCACCCGUGCGCCGGUCGCCGGG